rnacentral:rRNA from 1 species
CCUACGGGGUGCAGCAGUAGGGAAUCUUUCACAAUGGGCGAAAGCCUGAUGGAGCAACGCCGCGUGCAGGAUGAAGGCCUUCGGGUUGUAAACUGCUUUUGUCAGGGAGCAAGGUGCAGGUCGGGACCUGCUGUGAGAGUACCUGAAGAAAAAGCAUCGGCUAACUCCGUGCCAGCAGCCGCGGUAAUACGGAGGAUGCGAGCGUUAUCCGGAUUUAUUGGGUUUAAAGGGUGCGCAGGCGGAGGCACAAGUCAGCGGUAAAAUCGCGGGGCUCAACCCCGCUCCGCCGUUGAAACUGCAUCCCUUGAGUGCGCGAGAAGUAUGCGGAAUGCGUGGUGUAGCGGUGAAAUGCAUAGAUAUCACGCAGAACUCCGAUUGCGAAGGCAGCAUACCGGCGCGCAACUGACGCUCAUGCACGAAAGCGUGGGUAUCGAACAGGAUUAGAUACCCCGGUAGUC